rnacentral:rRNA from 1 species
CAGUCGCCACGGUAAUACGGAGGGCGCGAGCGUUACCCGGAUUUACUGGGCGUAAAGGGCGUGUAGGCGGCCUGGGGCGUCCCAUGUGAAAGGCCACGGCUCAACCGUGGAGGAGCGUGGGAUACGCUCAGGCUAGAGGAUGGGAGAGGGUGGUGGAAUUCCCGGAGUAGCGGUGAAAUGCGCAGAUACCGGGAGGAACGCCGAUGGCGAAGGCAGCCACCUGGUCCACUUCUGACGCUGAGGCGCGAAAGCGUGGGGAGCAAACAGGAUUAGAGACCCCUGUAGUCCCUGUCUCUUAUAA